UUUUUUUUUUAUUUUUUAUCGGUUUUUUAAUUAAAAAACCGAUUUUUAAAAAAAAUAUAAAAAAAUUUUAAACUCAACGGCUAUGCCUUUGACGAAUGGGAGGGCGACACGUGUGCGUCCGCUGGCACGGACGUGCUCGAUACAUCGAGCAGCGCCGUGCCAGCGGCGCUGCUGCAGCGGCGGCGGUGGCGACUUUCGCCACCGCUGCGGAUGCUCUAAAACUCUCCAUCUCCAAUCCUCGCAAGUCCAAAUCGACGGCUAUCUCCUCCACAUUCCAGAUCAUCGCCUCCAGCCCGUCGCCUCCUCCCUACAGUCGUGCUCCAGUCCGUUGCCUCCUCCCUACAGCCGUGCUUCAGUCCGCUGCUGCCUCCCGUCCCCACUUCGUCGCCUCUCCACCCGACCAUCCGUCGCCUCCGCCCUUCAGCCAUCCACGCUACCUUCAGGAAGCUAGGUACAGAUUCAGACUUAUGUUUAUGCAUUAAAGGGUGUUGAAUAAUAAAAGUGAAACUGUUGGAGAUGUCAUUGGUAUUUUUGGAAGUUUGAGCAAGAAAAAGUCACGAAGGCUUUAGAUCUAGAAAGGAACUUGCAGAGAAGUUGAACAGAAAUCUCCAUUAGUUAAUCAUGUUGCCUAUAUAUUUAUGAAAUUUUAUUUUUGUUGAUGGUGAUGUUAUAGCCUAAAUAUUUAUUUUUGUUGGUUGAGAUGUUAAUCAUGCUAUGGUUUUAUUGUGAAUACUGGUUUUAA